UGUCUCUCUCUGCCUCUCUCGUCCACUUCCACAGAUCUCACCAAUAUUCUUGAGUCGUUCCUGCCUCAGCUGCUGGCAUAUCCCAACCCCAUCGACCCGCUGAACGGAGACGCGGCGCCAUGUACCUCCACCGACCAGAGGAGUACAAACAGAAAAUCAAAGAGUACAUCCAGAAAUAUGCAACAGAGGAGGCUCUCAAGGAGCAGGAGGAGGGCCAGGGCGAUUCCUCAUCGGAAAGCUCCAUGUCGGAUUUCUCUGAAGACGAAGCCCAGGAUAUGGAGUUGUAGUGAUGGGAGACAACUCCCCUUUAAAACCACAGACUGUAUGAUUUCCUAACCAUGAGAAAGCAGACAUCAUAUUCAUAUAAAUUGAUUUUUUUAUUAUUAUUAUAAUUAUUAUAAUUAUUAUUGCUAAAACAAGGAUUUUUGUGGAUAUCAAGCCUCGGCGUAUAUCACACACCACCCGCUUUGUGUUUUUGCCAUGUCCCAGUCGCUUUCUCCUCCUUCAAUCCCUGUAAAGGUGCGUUGGACUUAGCGGUAGCAGUCCCCACAUUCCACCGGUAGUUGGAAUGUCCCCUUUGACCCGGUGACCUUCGGCCUUACCCUCACUGCACCAUCGACCGGACAAAAUGGAGACUAGCUCUAUGGGCUGGGCUGAGUGGGAGGUGGGCACCGGGGGAUUUCCCUUCUCUUUAUCUCAUGAAUGUGUUGAAGAAGAGGAACUAGAGAGUUAGGUCAUAUUCAUGGUCAUGGCAAUUAUGGUCCAGGUCUUCAGCCGAAUUCGUACCUGUCUGGAUCUGAUUUUUGUUUGAAUGGUAAAGUUGGAUUUGAAUUGGAUACAUCACCCUGCCGGCGUUGGCUGUCGACUUGUCCUGCUAGACAGGUGAUUGGGUAUUUUAAAGUAACAUGAAAGAGGGGAAUUGCAGCUUCAAUAUCUAUUUUCUUUCACCAAUGUUGUUUUCCUAGUGUUCAUUUGUCAUUUGUGCUUUUCAUUUGGCUGGGGUUAGGAGCUGCCUAUGGUGUGUGUGUGCAGCACCUAGCUUGUACAGUGAUACUUCACCUUUCUCAUUAGAGCCUUAUGAACCCAGCCAGCGCGUCAAUCAAAGCGCUUACAUCUCUCUGAGCCUGUCCGAGCUGGUGUGGCUGUCAGACUACCUGUACCCCUUUAGAAAAGUACAUCACUUCCUGGAACGCCAUAGGUAUUAUGUAUCCACUGAAGUUUUAGGGGUGAAUAAUGCCCAGAAUGAGGGAUUGAACGCUGAUGUGUUGAAAAGUGAGGUAGAAGUMGCCGACCUUACCUCACCGGCCACAGCACAGACGCCCAACAAAUUCUCCUCCGCUCUGUUUUUGUAAAAAAGUUAAAGGAGCGUAGAAAAAAUCGCAAGAAYCAUUUUUGUAACAAAAAAGAAAAGCACAAGGUUUUAUUUCCUACAAACUCCUCCCUCCUAGAUGAUUUGGACCUUGUUGAUUUGUUUAUUUUGGUGGCAAAGACAGGAUUUUUUUUUUGGGGGGGGGGGACAUCAUUCUGUACAGUUUGGGCAUGAUCCAGAAGUGACGUUGUGUUGGUCUGUAUUGCGCUAGGCUAGUGUAGGGCUCAACUAAAGUAGUACUGCUUGUGUGGCUACUGUCUGAAGUAUUGAGUUGCGUUGUGUACAAGGCUUAGUGAUUUACCUGGGUUACCCUUCACUCUUAYAUGGGGGGAAAUGCAGGGGGGAUAUCUGCAGGUCUUUUUUUUGCUAACAUUGUUGAAAUGACCAACUUAGCCUAUUGCUCGCGCUAAACUAUGAUAUGUGUUUUUGACUUGAUGUYGCGAUAGUUAGUUUACUGGGCGGUGUCUUCAYCUAAAGACAUAUAUGGGUAUAUUACAGAGUUAGCUUGUUUCAGGCAAUUGUCUGAUAAGUAAAACAACAAUAGCUGAUUUUAAGUUUGAAGGUAAUGUCCAUUGUAGGGUUUACAUCAGAUAUUCCAUGGAUCUAUACCGGCUGGUCCCCUUCAGAGAUGUACAGAUCAACGUGAGAGUGAUUUCAGACAAUGGCAAUGAAUUGACUGGUGGAGAAACUAGACUGAAUGUAUGAUAGUCUGUGCAAAACAAAAGCAUUGGGCCCGAUGAAAGUAUCAGACACUGCGCAGUGUGAUCAAGGCCACAUUGGGAUAGAGCUUGGAUGGGAGACCACGGUUUUCUUUGUUUUUAAUUUCAGUGUUCCCUAAAAGUUUGACUGUUCAAGGCUCCUGGAUUAAGAUGGUCAAAUAUGGAUUGGGUUCCAAUCCAUUGCCUGGUAUAAGACAGGAAAGUGGGUUUGGGGUUCCCAUGUUUCCUCACAGGCCAAAUGGAGCCUGCAAAAACAGAAUGAUGUCACAAGGAUACGCAGCAGAGUACCUUGCAAUUGGCUUCUGCCGUUUCCUGAGCUGCCUAUAUUUAUUCACUCUAUAUUGAAACCUUCGCUUUUCUUUCUCGUUUUUAAUCAAAUCAUUUACGGGCACCGCUGUUAAAACAAAGGUGUAUGUACUUAGGCUUCAGCCAAAUUGUGUCAUGCUGAAGAGAAUUAGAACUUMAAUUUUCUUUCUUUUUUAAGUAUUCAGUUUGGAUUUAAUGUUUUUUUUCUUAUUUUUUUCACAUUUAUGCAGUAUUGUACUAAAGUGAAAAAGAAAGAAAAAGAAAUAUCAUCAGAAUAAGUGGAGAAAGGCGAUGGAGGCCAUUUUGUGUUUUGGACACUUGCAUAGAGGAGCAAAUGUGAUAUUUCGGUAUUUUUAAAGAGAGUGCUCUUGUGUUGUCCUUGUUAUAACUAUGGUUUUGGUUUUCAAGCAGAAGUGUCGAUGUUCCCACAAACGGGGCGAUCCAAAGACGACAUGUACUCAGCUGUGGUCUGUUGCCAUGGUAAAUAUUUUGUUUUCUUUCACUCCUUUUUAUUCCCCCCAAACUAAUUCAAUGAUGAGAGGACUAUUUAUAACCUUUGUUUUUCUGUUUGUUUUUAAUUCCCAAGUCGAAGACUCAAUGACUCCUACAAUCCAAAAAUCUCCAAUAAACGUGUGCUUCUAUUGCAACUUUGAUUCGAAAUUAUUUUUGAAAAGAUUGAAAGUUUUACUACUUGAUUAGAUUUUUAGCCCCUCGCUCUCUUAAAUACAUUAGAACAUAGGUGUACCAAUGUGAGAUCUAAUUUCCCCCAACACACUAUCAACACUGACCCAAUGUGAGAUCUAAUUUCCCCCAACACACUAUCAACACUGACCCAAGUCAACCUGUUCCGAGUAAUAUCGAGGUGGGAGGGGGCCAAACCAAUUACUGUAGUAAGGUUAGUGUUACUAAGAGAUAGUGGUACCCCACACACACACCCCCAAUCUCACACACACACACACACACACACACAACCACACUUUGUGUAUAGUGAAGUCAGUACUGAGGGACUCAGCUGGUGGCUUCUGUCCAGACUAUUACAUUAGAGGGGAAAGUAGAGGCCUGGCUUCCAUCUGCACCAUCGGCGCCCCCCACCUAGUCCUGUUUCGUGGCGUCACCCCUGACCCCUGUGUUGACUGUACUGUACCUCUCCCAUGCACUWGUCUUGCAUGCAUCUGGUGUGGAGGGGCUCGAUUCAUCAUGUGCACCUCGCGUUCUGUCUUUGUGCUUCUCCAGAGUGGAACGCACCACACCCAGACAGUCCUACUGCUUUCACUACAGGGGACAUUGGGCACACGGCAUGGAAAAAUGCUUAACAAAAAACAUUAUAGGAACUGUAUUUGGUACCUGUCUACUACUUGAAAGUCAAGGGUGUUUUCAUUUUUUAAAAUCUGUCCUUGGUCUUACGUGAAUUUCAGUCCUCUUCCUCCCUCAUCCCCUCUCUCUUCUACAUUUUCUCCUCUCCGUUUACUCUGCAUUGUGAAMUGGGCAUGCUUGUCACAAGACAGACGCUCUCUAUCAGAGGAGGCUGCUGGGAGGAGCUUAAGGAGGAUGGGCUCAUUGUAAUGGAWUCAAUGGAACAGUAUCAAACAUAUGGAAACCACAACUCCGUUCCAUUUARAACAUUCCAGCCAUUACAAUGAGCCCAUCCUCCUAUAUCUCCUCCCGGCAGCCUCCACUGCUCUCUAUCUACAGGAUUAUAACCUCAUAAAUAGUUGUGUAUAAAUAAACUGUAAGUUCUUUUUUUAAAUAAAACAUUAACUGUG